CAACAGGUUUUUUUAAAAACCAACUACCAUGUGCCAGAGUAUAGACU
rfam:Monodelphis domestica chromosome 2, whole genome shotgun sequence.